CUGGGCAUAGACAGCCAUGAGAAGGGAGUGUUGGUGGGGACACUGGCCCACUGGGGGCUUUCCCUGUCUUUAUUCCUGCAGGAGCUUUUUGCAUGCUGGGGUUGGCGGGGGCUGGGGCCACACCACCGCAGCAGUGCCUGUGCCUUUCAUCUUAAAGCCACUCCUUUGCUAGGACCAUCAGUUCAUGCCUCAGGGGCCUUGGCCAGGCAGGAGACCUAGGGACACAUUUCCGGGGAGGCUGGGGAAUUACUCCAGCCUCCCCUGCAGAGAAGUGGGUUCACAGUGGGCCCCCAAGGCACUUCCUGUUUCAAAGGGCUUAUCUUCCCACACCCCCUGUUAGAAAACCAAGUACUGGAAAAGCAAGACUCUGUACAGGAAGCCAAAUGCUAGGGGUUGCAGCUCAGUGGGGUGGGUGCAGGGGUUCAGCCAACCACUUCCUGAAACUCUCUUUGUGGCUUCCAACCACGCCCCGUGGCACCGUCAGGUCCAGAGGGCUGACUUCACCUGAAUGUCAGGAAGCUCUGGAUAGGGCUGAGCCUCCAGUGGGUAAGGGUCAUAGCUGAGGUCGAUAGUUUAAGCAGCAGAAGUCAGUCUGAGUAAUCAAGAUGGGUGGGUCCUUCCCCAUACUCAGGUUCUCCUGGGACAGGCUCUCCCUCCCCACCCUGGAAGCCAGAAACUCUGGUACUAUCCUGGAGGUUUUAUGCUUCCUCUUAGUAAACUACUGAACGCUCCCAGGCAUUAACAGGCUGACCAUCCUGGAGGACCACACACUUGGCUACUACGUACAGGCUCCACUCACACCAAAGAUCAGAGAUGCUGAGGACACCCACGCCCUGUGACUACCUGCUUAUAGUGCCUGAACAUUCCAACCAGACGGAAGAAGCCGUAACAUGGGCUCCUGUUACCCAAAGGUGUUGAGGAUGUAAGUUAUGAAUGACCACACCACAGCAAGAGAGGACCUAGAGGACGGAAUGAAGACAGACAGACUUCAGGAGGUUCGUGAGCUCCUCAAAGCCUGGUGCUGGCCUGGCUCUGACUCACACAGAUCUGAAGCCACUUCUGCCCGACGAACAACACAGAGCCAAGGCCCAAAAGUGCCCCCUUCCUUCCCUCCCUGCUCAUCAGGUGGCAUUUAUUGUAUCACCUGGUAAUUAUCUAUGCUGUCUGGAAUCUCCAGGGGGCUGGGAGGGGAGCCUUGUCUUAUCCACGUCCUGGUCUCCCCACUCCCCCACGCCCACCGUCACGGGAAAGCCAGCUCACUUCUGUCUCACGGCCUCCUGGACCACAAGGCAAGCACAUCUGUCUACCCACCACCUCCCUGCGACUUAACUGGUACCCAAGCCGCCCAACAAUUUCCCUACACACCGUACUCAACUUACCCAGAGCUUCCUUCCUCUUUGGGACAGUUCCUUUGCCUCUUUACAUCGUGGAUGCAUAGGGCCCAAGUCUGAGCCACUGUCUGUGUCAGAUGCCCAAGGUCAACAAGCCCCAACCUGAGUCAAGUAGCUACCCUCCUCUGAUCCUUACCAGCCUCAGGAACCAGAGUCCAGCCCCUCAGGAGCCACCCCCACCUCCGACUGGUCCCUUCCAAUUGGUGUUAUCUGUGACCUCCUCCAAGCCACACCUAACUCCCUCCCCCACCACUCCUGUCUCCUGGUGAUGUCCACAGUUUGCAAGGCUGCCGUUUCCUUAAUGGAACUUCAAUGUUCCACAUGUAAAUUGGAACUUUUGUUUUUUUCCUCUCCCACUGGAAAACCCUUCAAAGGCCCCCUUUGCCCUGCAGAGAAAUUCUUUGCCUUGCUGGUACCUGCCCUGCCCUCUCUCUGCCCUCAGUGCUCCUGCCAGGACAUUUUACAGGCUACUACCUUGGUCUUAAGUAGUCUUCCUUCAAACUCUGCUACCUUAUGACACCUUCCUAAACCUUUCUUUGCUCCCAACUCUGAGGGCAAAACUGUCACUUCUUACUUCCUCUGCCAAACUCUGGGCAGCAUCCACAAUGCCCAGUCAUCAUUCUUGAAUAGACUGAUGCUGAGGGAGUGGAUGGGUAGACUCAUAAAGUCAUAAAGAGGGGCUACGUGCAGCCCAAAGGUAGAAUGAUCGACAAGCAUGCCAAAGACCCUGGGCUCAAAUAUCAGCACCAAUAGGAGAAGAAAAUAAUGUCACAGAAGAUUAAUUACAUAAAAAAAUAUAAAAGCACAUUUAUGCAAUCCUGCUCUAUCCAGCCUCUUUACUCAGGACUCUAAUCCUAUAAUACAUUUUACAUACAAGGAAACUGAGGCUUCCAGAGGCUUCUGUGCUGUCCUGUUUUCCCUUCCACCAAGUUCAUGCCCACUAGGGAGCCGAGAGUGUGACCUUAUUUAGAAACAGAGUCUUGGCAAGGUAAUUAGUUAAGAUGAGAUCAUACUGGAUUAGGGUGGGCCCUAAAUGCAGUAAUUAGUGGUCUUACAAGAUGGCCGUUUGAGCAGUUGCACAGAGAAGACAGAUAUGUGGAGUUGGAAGCUGAGGUCAGUGAGACACAAGUACAAGCCAAACAGCCUCAAGGAUUGCCA
ensembl:lncRNA